UACGUAGGGGGCGAGCGUUGUCCGGAAUCAUUGGGCGUAAAGCGCGUGUAGGCGGCCCGGUAAGUCCGCUGUGAAAGUCCAGGGCUCAACCCUGGGAUGCCGGUGGAUACUGUCGGGCUCGAGUCCGGAAGAGGCGAGUGGAAUUCCUGGUGUAGCGGUGAAAUGCGCAGAUAUCAGGAGGAACACCGGUGGCGAAGGCGGGUCUCUGGGCCGAUACUGACGCUGAGGCGCGAAGGCGCGGGGAGCGAACGGG
rnacentral:rRNA from 1 species